CACCAACGCCUGGAAGCACCCCUAGCCAUUGCUAACCACUGCUGAGAGCAGCUGAAAUUGCCCCCUUGCCAAUCUGAUGUUUAGAGGCAGUCAAGAAAGUGGAUGGGGUUCAGUUUAUUUGUUCCUCCACCUUCUUCUCCAAGGUUCUUGAGGAUGCUAUUGCCUUCCAAUCAAGUGGCCAACCUUUCUUCAACCUCUGAUUCAAUCCCUCCAAUCAGAAGUCUACUCUUCUUGCUCACGUCAAGGCGCUAAUCAAAAUUGCAAAUAAGGUUAUUUGUGACUGUGAUUUUGGUUCAUCAUCCCACCAUGAACUUCUUCAUCACUCUGCAGUUGUCAAAAUGAGCUUGUUUCAGAUUCCUUCCCACGUCAGUGUGUUUGCACCGUCCAACUACAUCUGUACGUGUCAUAUCAUGGUCGACCACCUCUGCAAUGAUUUGGCUUCUAAUCCCAAGCCUUUACUUUCCGAGAUGCUCUUGAGUUCACCCUUUACUCCACCUCUCAUUCACUCGCAUCAAAAGUACUUUGGAGAAACAUUCUCAUCUAGAUAGGGUCAAUAGCCUCAUAUGUGAUAAUGAGCCACAUAGAAGUCAGCAGAUCCAAAGGGAUGUAAAGGGAAAUGAAAGUAGCAAGAAAUAGUAGUAUGUUGUAAUGCGUCUCAUGUCUUAGUCUCAUAUACUCAAGGAAAGAAAUACAUCACGAAAGUUCCUGCUCUAACUUCUCCUCUUUUUUUUCCAGUGUGAUGAAGGAUCUCAGCCUGAAAUUUCAACUCUUUUCCAUAGACGCUGCCUGGCCUGCUGAAUUCUUCCAGCAUUUUGUGUGUGUGGCUUUGGAUUUCCAGCAUCCACAGAUCUUCUCAUUAUUCUCCAUUGUGUGGAGGCUUUCUGUGGCUGAAGUCACACGUGGUCUUGCUGAUGUUGAGUGCAAGGAGUCCUGGGUCUCACAGCGUCAGGCUUUGCUCGUCUCUCCGCUGAAUGGGCUCCACAGCCGUGGACUCGCUUUCAUGGGCAGUAAAACCAACCUACCAAAAUAGAUUUGAUUAUAACCUUAAGUAUCCUGGAGCUGUCUACAAGUGCAAGCUGGAAAUAUGAGAACAAUUGCUGAGUGC